AGGGACAUGGAGAAAUGCUUAAUAACUCCUGUCUCUGAGCCGUUUGUGUCCUGAAGUUCUGCUGUAGUGCACUUGAUGUGCUCUCUGAGCCUCUCAGAAUUCCUAAAGACAAAGAAUGAGGAUAUAGUCCGUCUGUAUGUCUUUGUUCUCUGACUUGCAAAAUGCCGUGCAUUCUGUCUCUUGCCAGCUCCUUUUCCUUCGCAGCCUCUGAAAUUGUGUUUUGUAAGAAGUCACUUGCCUAUCACCAC